rnacentral:rRNA from 1 species
ACUCAAAUGAAUAGACGGGGACCCGCACAAGCAGCGGAGCAUGUCGCUUAAUUCGAUGCAACGCGAAGAACCUUACCUGGAUUGAACUACGCAGGAAAAGCCAUAGAGAUAUGGUGUCCUUCGGGGUCUGCGAUAGGUGAUGCAUGGUUGUCGUCAGCUCGUGUCGUGAGAUGUUGGGUUAAGUCCCGCAACGAGCGCAACCCUUAUCCUAUGUUGCUAACAAGUUAUGUUGAGGACUCGUAGGAGACCGCCGUGGUCAACACGGAGGAAGGUGGGGAUGAUGUCAAAUCAUCAUGUCCCUUACGUCCAGGGCUGCAGACAUGCUACAAUGGCCGAUACAAAGGGUUGCCAAACCGCGAGGUUGAGCUAAUCCCAAAAAGUCGGUCUCAGUUCGGAUUGAAGUCUGCAACUCGACUUCAUGAAGCUGGAGUUGCUAGUAAUCCCAGAUCAGCAUUGCUGGGGUGAAUACGUUCCCGGGUCUUGCACACACCGCCCGU